CCUACGGGUGGCAGCAGUGAGGAAUAUUGGUCAAUGGGCGGAAGCCUGAACCAGCCAAGUAGCGUGCGGGAUGACGGCCCUACGGGUUGUAAACCGCUUUUGCACGGGGAUAACACCCUCCACUUGUGGAGGUCUGCAGGUACCGUGCGCAUAAGGGCCGGCUAAUUCCUUGCCAGCCGCCGCAGUAAUACGGAAGGCCCGAGCGUUAUCCGGAUUUAUUGGGCUUAAAGGGGGCGUAGGCGGGCGUUCAAGUCAGCUGUGAAAUCGCGCGGCUCAACCGCGCCCGGCAGUUGGAACUUGACGCUUUGAGUUCACAACAGGCAGGCGGAAUUCGUGGUGUAGCGGUGAAAUGCAUAGAUAUCACGAGGAACCCCGAUUGCGAAGGCAGCCUGCCGGGGUGCGACUGACGCUGAGGCUCGAAGGUGCGGGUAUCAAACAGGAUUAGAUACCCCUAGUAGUC
rnacentral:rRNA from 1 species